rnacentral:rRNA from 1 species
GAUCCUGGCUCAGGGUGAACGCUAGCUACAGGCUUAACACAUGCAAGUCGAGGGGAAACGAUAUUGGAAGCUUGCUUCCGAUAGGCGUCGACCGGCGCACGGGUGAGUAACGCGUAUCCAACCUGCCCACCACUUGGGGAUAACCUUGCGAAAGUAAGACUAAUACCCAAUGAUAUCUCUAGAAGACAUCUGAGAGAGAUUAAAGAUUCAUCGGUGAUGGAUGGGGAUGCGU